rnacentral:rRNA from 1 species
AUUGAACGCUGGCGGCAGGCCUAACACAUGCAAGUCGAGCGGAGCGGCGGACGGGUGAGUAAUGCCUAGGAAUCUGCCUGGUAGUGGGGGAUAACGUCCGGUAACGGGCGCUAAUACAGCAUACUCUUAGAUGAGCCUAGGUCGGAUUAGCGAGUUGGUGGGGUAAAGGCCUACCAAGGCGACGAUCCGUAACUGGUAUGAGCGGCUGAGCAGUCAAACUGGAACUUGGCCACGGUCCAUGCUCCUACGGGGUGCAGCAGUGGGGAAUGUUGGACAAUGUGCUAAAGCCUGAACCAACCAUGCCUCUUGUGUGAAGAAGGUCUUCGGAUUUUAAAGCACUUUCAGUUGGGAGGCGUUACCAGCAGAAUAAGCACCGGCUAACUUCGUGCCAGCCGCCGCGGUAAUUC